rnacentral:rRNA from 1 species
UAGGGAAUUUUCCACAAUGGGCGAAAGCCUGAUGGAGCAACGCCGCGUGCAGGAUGAAGGCCUUCGGGUUGUAAACUGCUUUUAUCUGUGACGAUUAUGACGGUAGCAGAUGAAUAAGGAUCGGCUAACUCCGUGCCAGCAGCCGCGGUCAUACGGAGGAUCCAAGCGUUAUCCGGAAUUACUGGGCGUAAAGAGUUGCGUAGGUGGCAUUGUAAGUCGGUAGUGAAAACGUGUGGCUCAACCAUAUACACAUUAUCGAAACUGCAAAGCUAGAGGACGAGAGAGGUAAUUGGAAUUCCUGGUGUAGGGGUAAAAUCCGUUGAUAUCAGGAGGAACACCGAUGGCGUAGGCAGAUUACUGGCUCGUUCCUGACACUCAGGCACGAAAGCGUGGGGAGCAAACAGGAUUAGAUACCCGGGUAGUCC